rnacentral:rRNA from 1 species
UCGAACGCUGGCGGCAUGCCUUACACAUGCAAGUCGAACGGCAGCACGGGCUUCGGUCUGGUGGCGAGUGGCGAACGGGUGAGUAAUAUAUCGGAACGUACCCAAGAGUGGGGGAUAACGUAGCGAAAGUUACGCUAAUACCGCAUACGAUCUAUGGAUGAAAGCGGGGGAUCGCAAGACCUCGUGCUCCUGGAGCGGCCGAUAUCUGAUUAGCUAGUUGGUGGGGUAAAGGCCCACCAAGGCAUCGAUCAGUAGCUGGUCUGAGAGGACGACCAGCCACACUGGAACUGAGACACGGUCCAGACUCCUACGGGAGGCAGCAGUGGGGAAUUUUGGACAAUGGGGGCAACCCUGAUCCAGCAAUGCCGCGUGAGUGAAGAAGGCCCUCGGGUUGUAAAGCUCUUUUGUCAGGGAAGAAAAGGCUGUGGCUAAUAUCCACGGCUCAUGACGGUACCUGAAGAAUAAGCACCGGCUAACUACGUGCCAGCAGCCGCGGUAAUACGUAGGGUGCAAGCGUUAAUCGGAAUUACUGAGCGUAAAGCGUGCGCAGGCGGUUUUGUAAGACUGUCGUGAAAUCCCCGGGCUCAACCUGGGAAUGGCGAUGGUGACUGCAAGGCUAGAGUUUGGCAGAGGGGGGUAGAAUUCCACGUGUAGCAGUGAAAUGCGUAGAUAUGUGGAGGAACACCGAUGGCGAAGGCAGCCCCCUGGGCCAAAACUGACGCUCAUGCACGAAAGCGUGGGGAGCAAACAGGAUUAGAUACCCUGGUAGUCCACGCCCUAAACGAUGUCUACUAGUUGUCGGGUCUUAAUUGACUUGGUAACGCAGCUAACGCGUGAAGUAGACCGCCUGGGGAGUACGGUCGCAAGAUUAAAACUCAAAGGAAUUGACGGGGACCCGCACAAGCGGUGGAUGAUGUGGAUUAAUUCGAUGCAACGCGAAAAACCUUACCUACCCUUGACAUGGUCGGAACCCUGAAGAGAUUCGGGGGUGCUCGAAAGAGAACCGAUACACAGGUGCCGCAUGGCUGUCGUCAGCUCGUGUCGUGAGAUGUUAGGUUAAGUCCCGCAACGAGCGCAACCCUUGUCAUUAGUUGCUACGAAAGGGCACUCUAAUGAGACUGCCGGUGACAAACCGGAGGAAGGUGGGGAUGACGCCAAGUCCUCAUGGCCCUUAUGGGUAGGGCUUCACACGUCAUACAAUGGUGCAUACAGAGGGCCGCCAACCCGCGAGGGGGAGCUAAUCGGAAAAAGCCGUGCUCAGUUCGGAUUGGAGUCUGCAACCCGACUCCAUGAAGCUGGAAUCGCUAGUAAUCGCAGAUCAGAACGCUGCGGUGAAUACGUUCCCGGGCCUUGUACACACCGCCCGUCACAUCACGAAAGUGGACCAUACUAGAAGCAGGUGGGCCAACCGCAAGGGGGCAGCCUUCCAAGGUAUAGUUCAUGAUUGGGGUG